GGGGGUGUAGCUCAAUGGUAGAGUCCCAGUCUUCCAAACUGGUAGUGCGGGUUCGAUUCCCGUCACCCCCU
rnacentral:tRNA from 1 species